rnacentral:misc_RNA from 1 species
GUGAUCCCGCCGGGGAAGGGGUUCCGCGCGGCGCUGGGGCUCAGCGAGGGUGGCCCGCUGUUCGGGUUCACCAAGGCGAACGAGCUCUUCGUGGGUCGCCUCGCGCAGCUGGGGAUCGCCUUCUCCCUCAUCGGCGAGAUCAUCACCGGGAAGGGCGCGCUGGCGCAGCUCAACAUCGAGACCGGCGUCCCCAUCAACGAGAUCGAGCCGCUCCUCCUCUUCAACAUCCUCUUCUUCUUCUUCGCCGCCAUCAACCCCGGAACCGGCAAGUUCGUCACCGACGACAACGACGACCAAUGAGCCCAGCCCACCCCUCAUUUUGCUUUUACUCCACUUAAUUAAAUUAGCUUCUUCUGA